UACGUGGGGUGCAAGCGUUGUCCGGAAUUAUUGGGCGUAAAGAGCUCGUAGGCGGUCUGUCGCGUCGGAUGUGAAAACCCAGGGCUCAACCCUGGGCCUGCAUUCGAUACGGGCAGACUAGAGUUCGGCAGAGGGAAGCGGAAUUUCUGGUGUAGCGGUGAAAUGCGUAGAUAUCAGAAGGAACAUCAGUGGCGAAAGCGGCUUCCUGGACCAGAACUGACGAUCAGGCACGAAAGCGUGGGGAGCAAACAGG
rnacentral:rRNA from 1 species